rnacentral:lncRNA from 1 species
AUUAUUGUCAUCAAAAAUGUUCUUAAAACCUUGUCUUUUUAUAUGAGGAAUUAUGGGAAGUAUUCUCCAGACUGAUUUUAACUUCUCAUAAACUAGCACUGGAAAAUCACCAUGACAAAGCUUCUAAUCUGCUCCUCAAAUCUGUCCUGACAGAUCCAGCAAGUGAAAGGACUAAGUGUUCGGAGGACUGCAAAGUGCAUCAAGCUUAUUCUAGACCCUGUGCAUUCCUUCCUCCCUUCUUCUCUGGAGCAGCAAGUGUGAUCUUUCUCUGGACUGGAGCAGGAUGAUUCAAGACUCUGGCAUGGGUUGGGAGUGGACAUGGAUACAGCAGACAUAAUGUGAGACUCCUCUAGUGUAGCUAAUGUGGUAAGUAUUAAAUGCCAACAAAAUGGAAGUAAAUGUACUAAUUGAGUGAAUCCUGUUAAAAUGAAUUUAUUACUCCAUUAUGGAAGUCUUUGCAGG